rnacentral:rRNA from 1 species
UUUGAUCCUGGCUCAGGAUAAACGCUGGCGGCGCACAUAAGACAUGCAAGUCGAACGGACUUAACCAUUAGUUUACUAUUGGAGCGGUUAGUGGCGGACUGGUGAGUAACACGUAAGCAACCUGCCUAUCAGAGGGGAACAACAGUUAGAAAUGACUGCUAAUACCGCAUAUGCCAUGAAUAUCACAUGAUAUAAAUGGGAAAGGAGCAAUCCGCUGAUAGAUGGGCUUGCGUCUGAUUAGAUAGUUGGUGGGGGUAACGGCCUACCAAGUCGACGAUCAGUAGCCGGACUGAGAAGUUGAACGGCCACAUUGGGACUGAGAUACGGCCCAGACUCCUACGGGAGGCAGCAGUCGGGAAUAUUGCGCAAUGGAGGAAACUCUGACGCAGUGACGCCGCGUGCAGGAAGAAGGUUUUCGGAUUGUAAACUGCUUUAGACAGGGAAGAUAAUGACAGUACCUGUAGAAUAAGCUCCGGCUAACUACGUG